CUGGUCAUAUCACAUUGAAACACCAGUUCCCAUACAGUUACCAAAGUUAAGCAACGUCGAGUCUGGCCAGGACCUAGAUGGGUGACCGCUUGGGAUUACCAGCUGCUGUAA